GAUAUUUUUGUAUUUGAAUGAGAAUGAAGAAGGAGU
rnacentral:sRNA from 1 species